rnacentral:rRNA from 1 species
CUAAGAGCAAACGGUGGAUGCCUUGGCAUCUGGAGCCGAAGAAGGACGUAUAAAUCUGCGAUAAGCCUCGGGGAGCUGAUAAUAGAGCUUUGAUCCGAGGAUCUCCGAAUGGGGAAACCCCGCCAGGCCCUUUGGGUGACCUGGUGACUCCCGCCUGAAUAUAUAGGGCGGGUAGAGGGAACGUGGGGAAGUGAAACAUCUCAGUACCCACAGGAAGAGAAAGCAAAAGCGAUUCCGUUAGUAGUGGCGAGCGAAACCGGAAGAGGCCAAACCGAUCAUGUGUGAUAUCCGGUAGGAGUUGCAUGGUCGGGGUUGCGGGACUUUCCGUACAGUUCUACCGAGCUGUGAGGGCAAUGAGCGCGAUAUAGACGAAUGGUCUUGAAAGGCCAGUCAUAGAGGGUGCGAACCCCGUAGUCGAAAUGUCGUCGCCUGUCCGGAGAGUAUCCCAAGUAGCACGGGGCCCGAGAAAUCCCGUGUGAAUCUGUCAGGACCACCUGAUAAGCCUAAAUACUCCCAGAUGACCGAUAGCGGACAAGUACCGUGAGGGAAAGGUGAAAAGUACCCCGGGAGGGGAGUGAAAUAGUACCUGAAACCGUUUGCUUACAAACCGUUGGAGCACCCUUGUUGGUGUGACAGCGUGCCUUUUGAAGAAUGAGCCUGCGAGUUAGUGAUAUGUGGCGAGGUUAACCCGUGAGGGGCAGCCGUAGCGAAAGCGAGUCUUAAUAGGGCGUAUGAGUCGCAUGUUCUAGACCCGAAGCGAAGUGAUCUAUCCAUGGCCAGGUUGAAGCGACGGUAAGACGUCGUGGAGGACCGAACCCACUUCAGUUGAAAAUGGAGGGGAUGAGCUGUGGAUAGGGGUGAAAGGCCAAUCAAACUUCGUGAUAGCUGGUUCUCUCCGAAAUGCAUUUAGGUGCAGCGUUGCGUGUUUCUUGCCGGAGGUAGAGCUACUGGAUGGACGAUGGGCCCCAAAAGGUUACUGACUUCAGCCAAACUCCGAAUGCCGGUAAGUGAGAGCGCAGCAGUGAGACGGUGGGGGAUAAGCUUCAUCGUCGAGAGGGAAACAACCCAGACCACCAUCUAAGGUCCCUAAGCGCGUGCUAAGUGGGAAAGGAUGUGGAGUUGCAUAGACAACCAGGAGGUUGGCUUAGAAGCAGCCACCCUUGAAAGAGUGCGUAAUAGCUCACUGGUCAAGUGAUUCCGCGCCGACAAUGUAACGGGGCUCAAGCACGCCACCGAAGUUGUGGCAUUUAUAUUAUAGGCAGGCCUUCGUGGUCCAGCCGUAUGGAUGGGUAGGAGAGCGUCGUGUGGCCAGCGAAGCGGCGGUGUGAACCAGCCGUGGAGGCCACACGAGUGAGAAUGCAGGCAUGAGUAGCGAAAGACGGGUGAGAAACCCGUCCUCCGAAAGACCAAGGGUUCCAGGGCCAGGCUAAUCCGCCCUGGGUAAGUCGGGACCUAAGGCGAGGCCGACAGGCGUAGUCGAUGGACAACGGGUUGAUAUUCCCGUACCGAUGAAGAACCGCCCAAGACAAUCCAGUAAUGCUAAGUGUCUGAAUCCUUGAUUCGAUCCCUUCGGGGUGACGGUCUUGGCCUAGCACACGACCCUACGCUGGGGCGUUUAGCGUAUUAACAGGUGUGACGCAGGAAGGUAGCUGAGCCGGGCGAUGGUUGUCCCGGUCUAAGGAUGUAGGGCAGAAGAUAGGCAAAUCCGUCUUCUAUGUAGCCUGAGACCCGAUGGGUAGUCCUCACGGACGAAAUCAGUGAUCCUAUGCUGCCGAGAAAAGCAUCGACGCGAGGUUCCAAUCGCCCGUACCCCAAACCGACUCAGGUGGUCAGGUAGAGAAUACUAAGGAGAUCGAGAGAAUCGUGGUUAAGGAACUCGGCAAAAUGCCCCCGUAACUUCGGGAGAAGGGGGGCCUGAGGCGUGUAGGGAUUUACUCCUGAAGCGUUUGAAGGCCGCAGAGACCAGUGGGAAGCGACUGUUUACUAAAAACACAGGUCCGUGCUAAGUCGCAAGACGAUGUAUACGGACUGACGCCUGCCCGGUGCUGGAAGGUUAAGAGGAACGGUUAGCACGCAAGUGCGAAGCUGAGAAUUUAAGCCCCAGUAAACGGCGGUGGUAACUAUAACCAUCCUAAGGUAGCGAAAUUCCUUGUCGGGUAAGUUCCGACCUGCACGAAUGGCGUAACGACUUCCCAGCUGUCUCAACCGCGAACUCGGCGAAAUUGCACUACGAGUAAAGAUGCUCGUUACGCGCAGCAGGACGGAAAGACCCCGUGACCUUUACUACAGCUUGGUAUUGGUGUUCGGUGUGGCUUGUGUAGGAUAGGUGGGAGACUGUGAAGCUCGGACGCUAGUUCGGGUGGAGUCAUUGUUGAAAUACCACUCUGGUCACUCUGGAUAUCUAACUUCGAACCGUAAUCCGGUUCAGGGACAGUGCCUGGUGGGUAGUUUAACUGGGGCGGUUGCCUCCUAAAGAGUAACGGAGGCGCCCAAAGGUUCCCUCAACCUGGUUGGUAAUCAGGUGUCGAGUGUAAGUGCACAAGGGAGCUUGACUGUGAGACUGACAAGUCGAGCAGGGACGAAAGUCGGGACUAGUGAUCCGGCAGUGGCUUGUGGAAGCGCUGUCGCUCAACGGAUAAAAGGUACCUCGGGGAUAACAGGCUGAUCUUGCCCAAGAGUCCAUAUCGACGGCAUGGUUUGGCACCUCGAUGUCGGCUCGUCGCAUCCUGGGGCUGGAGUAGGUCCCAAGGGUUGGGCUGUUCGCCCAUUAAAGCGGUACGCGAGCUGGGUUUAGAACGUCGUGAGACAGUUCGGUCCCUAUCCGCUGCGCGCGUAGGAAAUUUGAGAAGAUCUAUCCCUAGUACGAGAGGACCGGGAUGGACGAACCUCUGGUGUGUCAGUUGUUCCGCCAGGAGCACCGCUGAUUAGCUACGUUCGGAACGGAUAACCGCUGAAAGCAUCUAAGCGGGAAGCCGGCUUCGAGAUGAGAUUUCCAUCCCUUUUAGGGUGAAGGCUCCCGGCUAGACUACCGGGUUGAUAGGCAGGAUGUGGAAGCGAGGACUAAAGACUCGUGGAGCUGACCUGUACUAAUAAGCCGAUAUCUUGAAA